CACUUCUCUUUUCCCCAUUUGGGUGGAGUCUAUUCAGGGUGAGUCUGUUGCACAUUUUCUGCUCAGAGCUGGGCAGUCUCACUGAAACCAGGCAGGGGACACCAGAGGCAUCAGAGGUCCUGGCAGGAUCAAGGGCAGGAUGAUGGCCACCAAGGGCAGUGACCUCAGCACCAGAAUGUCUGCAGAGGACCAGUACAUAUAUAACAGUGUUAAGGAGACUGCAGGCAAGCUCUUCAAAAGGCAUAAGGUGGACAUUUCACAUGCAAUAAAAACACCAUUUCCUUUCUUUGAAAUGCUCCGGGACCAUGAAUUCAUCAC